CUUGGUCAUUUAGAGGAAGUAAAAGUCGUAACAAGGUCUCCGUUGGUGAACCAGCGGAGGGAUCAUUACCGAGUUUACAACUCCCAAACCCCUGUGAACAUACCACUUGUUGCCUCGGCGGAUCAGCCCGCUCCCGGUAAAACGGGACGGCCCGCCAGAGGACCCCUAAACUCUGUUUCUAUAUGCAACUUCUGAGUAAAACCAUAAAUAAAUCAAAACUUUCAACAACGGAUCUCUUGGUUCUGGCAUCGAUGAAGAACGCAGCAAAAUGCGAUAAGUAAUGUGAAUUGCAGAAUUCAGUGAAUCAUCGAAUCUUUGAACGCACAUUGCGCCCGCCAGUAUUCUGGCGGGCAUGCCUGUUCGAGCGUCAUUUCAACCCUCAAGCACAGCUUGGUGUUGGGACUCGCGUUAAUUCGCGUUCCUCAAAUUGAUUGGCGGUCACGUCGAGCUUCCAUAGCGUAGUAGUAAAACCCUCGUUACUGGUAAUCGUCGCGGCCACGCCGUUAAACCCCAACUUCUGAAUGUUGACCUCGGAUCAGGUAGGAAUACCCGCUGAACUUAAGCAUAUCAAUAAGCGGAGGA
rnacentral:rRNA from 1 species